CUUAUCAACGGAUCGCACUCGUCGAACUUAUAUGGAAAUAAUAUCGAGUGUUUCCAUCUACAAACCGCAAUUAUUAGGCCGCUUUGGAGUAUAAAGCCUGGUUUCUAGAUCAACACAACGGUUCGACGAAGGUCAGGCGACUAAUCAUGCCGAGGAAUGCAAUCUGUCCGCGAUUCGUCGAGGCCUCCCGUAAUUAGACAAACCACUGAUGACACUGUGUUCCAAUUACGAACAACACGUUGAGUUUAUUCAUAAAUCUAUAUUGACUCUUCGCUAAAUUCUCCCAGAGUGUCCGUGGGGGCUGUUAUGGGGUUGUACGAACAUCCCCAUUUGGAAUGAAAGGUUCUGUUCUUAAACUUUCUUAAAACAUUUUCUUUGUUGACGAUAUAAUUUAGUGAUAACUUGAGAGAAGUACGCAAAGAUAAUUUAUCUGUAAUCACGUACAAUCGAAUCACAAAUUCGUCGAAUUUGAAUCACAUUGCUGUCGAAUUGUUUCGAGAUACGUAACUUCCGGUAUGUGAACCGAGAAUGAAUUUUGGGACCGAAGGACAACGAACUCGCACUUCCAUUCCGUGAUACAUAGCUGUUAGUCAUCGCUGUAUCGUCAUCUAUGAUUCUGAAACGCGUAACGCCCGAAGGCAUUCUAAUGUGGCAAUACUUAUUGGCUUGUGUUCUUUGUAGAAUCACGUCAUUGUACUCGUAUCAGCGACAAAAGUAUCGUAAACAAAUGUGUCAGCGUGCUACGCUAAGCUUAGGCUUGUCGAUAGAACUGAUGGGGAGCCGAACUUGACAUCGCACGAGGUUUCUUCGUCGGUUCGUACUCGGUAAAUUGCAUUCGUGACGUAUCCUUGCCGAGAUGACCCAGUUACGAGCUCGAACCCCUUGAAAUCGUAUGUACGAGAAUUUAUCGAGUGCGACUGAAGGCCGUCGAGAGAAUCUUUUCCGACGGCGCGGCAGCGAGUGGAUAGGUAAUGAGAACAUCGAAGAUUCGAACGCUCGCCAUCGCGUGGAUAGAUGAAACGUGAAUCGUGAUCACGACCUGAUCUGACAAUUGAAAUGCAACAAAUGUCGCCAGUGAGAUUCGCUUGUAAACAUCGAAUUAAAUAUGGACUUUUGUAUUGCCUAAGACACAUAAAAAAAUGACAUAUUUCUCGGUUUCUUUUUAUCUUAACGAACCAUGCGAAUUCAUAGAAAUAAUUCGAUGUAUAAUAUAAUAUUGCUUGUAUAUAACUUUAUAGUAUUUUAUUUUCAUAUAAAUUCAAAUCGUUAUAAUAAAUCGUAUGGAUCCAAGGCCGCGCUAUUUG